rnacentral:rRNA from 1 species
UACGUAGGGACCGAGCGUUGUCCGGAUUCAUUGGGCGUAAAGAGCUCGUAGGCGGCCACUCAAGUCGAAUGUGAAACCUCGAGGCUUAAACCUCGAGCCUGCAUUCGAUACUGGGCGGCUAGAGUCUGGUAGGGGGAUCUGGAAUUCCUGGUGUAGCGGUGGAAUGCGCAGAUAUCAGGAGGAACACCGGUGGCGAAGGCGGGAUCCUGGGCCAGUACUGGACGCUGAGGAGCGAAAGCGUGGGGAGCAAACAGGG